rnacentral:lncRNA from 1 species
GGACUUGCUGCUUUCCACGCUGCAGCGUGGACACAGGGAAGCCGCCUUCUCCUUGCGGUUGGUGGGCUUUUGACAGCGACCUUUGCCUCUGGCUCAUUAGCUGUGGGCAUCAUUUCCAGUCGGAGGUGUAGGAUGGUUGGGGGAUGCGGUCCAGGGUGUGCUGAGAGUAACAGUAAACUUCCAGCAAACGUCGACUUCUCAGGAAGUAGCCAGAGCCACCAGCUUCCUCAAGAAAAGGAGAGAGAGAAUUCCUUCUCCACCAUGCAGAGCAUCCCCUGCCUCAGGAAGAAACCCAGAAGGUUCUGCAUGGGCAAGUAGGGUCAACGGUGCAGCUGACUGGAGCUGGCUGAGCCAAUGGUGCUGCUGUACUACAGUGUUUUCUGGGCUGUAUCAUCUGCAACCGGGGUUGGCCAGAGUGAGAGAACUCUGGGAGUCUCCACAGGAAGUGAAUAUUUCCUGACCAGCUCAUUCCUUGCUGCCUCUCCAACAUUUUCUUGUCUACAACUAAAACGUUUUGCCUUGUAUGUUCCCGCCCAAGGCCUCUUGAGACAGUGGGUGUUUUCUUCUUUCAUUUUCAACUCGUGCCAAAUGUGUCAGGAGUUAAGUCCAUAAUGCAUAGAUCUUGGCCCCGGAUCUUUCAGGGAUGUGGCCUCUCUUUCUGACACAGGCCGCACACUAACCAGAUGUGUCUGAAAGUCUGACCCUUUAAGAGAUCCUGGCUUGGUGCUUCUUUAUAAAUGAAAACCCUGUUAAGAGAG